rnacentral:rRNA from 1 species
UACGUAGGGGGCAAGCGUUGUCCGGAAUCAUUGGGCGUAAAGCGGGUGUAGGCGGCCAGGUAAGUCCGUUCUGAAAGCCCGGGGCUCAACCCCGGGAGGCGGAUGGAUACUGCUUGGCUCGAGUCCGGAAGAGGCGAGUGGAAUUCCCGGUGUAGCGGUGAAAUGCGCAGAUAUCGGGAGGAACACCAAUGGCGAAGGCAGCUCGCUGGGACGGUACUGACGCUGAGACGCGAAAGCGUGGGGAGCAAACAGG